UGAGCAACCUGCCCUUAGCUUUGGGAUAACCCUCGGAAACGGGGGCUAAUACCGAAUGUUCACUGCCGGGCGCAUGUUUGGUGGUGGAAAGUUUUUCGGCUGGGGAUGGGCUCGCGGCCUAUCAGCUUGUUGGUGAGGUAACGGCUCACCAAGGCUUCGACGGGGUAGCCGGCCUGAGAGGGCGACCGGCCACACUGGGACUGAGAUACGGCCCAGACUCCUACGGGAGGCA
rnacentral:rRNA from 1 species